UACGUAGGGGGCAAGCGUUGUCCGGAAUCAUUGGGCGUGAAGAGCGUGUAGGCGGCCAGAAAAGUCCGCUGUGAAAACUCGAGGCUCAACUUCGAGCUGUCGGUGGAAACUUUCUGGCUAGAGUCCGGAAGAGGAGAAUGGAAUUCCUGGUGUAGCGGUGAAAUGCGCAGAUAUCAGGAAGAACACCCGUGGCGAAGGCGGUUCUCUGGGACGGUACUGACGCUGAGACGCGAAAGCGUGGGGAGCGAACAGG
rnacentral:rRNA from 1 species